UUCUUACUUUGGCAGUAGUACACUAAAAUUGCAAGGAUACAGAGAGGAUUAGCAUGCCCCCUGCCCAAGGUUGCCACACAAAUUUAUGAAGCUUCCAUAUUUUUC
rnacentral:snRNA from 1 species